AUGGCUUCGGCGCGGAGAUCGCGAAAUGCUCAGAGGUAUUACAUUCUUUCAUCUGCAAGAGAUAACAAACAAAGGGUAAAAGAUGACACUUAUCGCGGUGCAAUGGCUUCUCGUGGUGACACUGUGUGUAGCGGAAUCAGAGGGGUCCGGAUCUGCAAGGAGUUGUUGGUUUGCGUCGGGAGUUUGUACCGAACACAAGAACUUUGUACCAAUUGUUAUGUUGCUGCAACAACUUUGAGGUUGUGA